rnacentral:rRNA from 16 species
AUGUAGAGAACAAAAAAAAGAAAAAAAAGAAAAAGAAAAAUAGAAAAAGAAAGAAAAGAAAAAGAAAAAAAGAAG